AAGAAGAGAACUUAGGUAAUAACUCAAGACCUAAUUCCUCUCCUCUCCUUUUCUCUCCCGAUGGCACAGCUCUUCUCGGCGAAAACGCAGCAAUGGAUCUAGGAUUCCUCUCCGGCGGCCGGCCAAGGCUAUUUCGGAGGGUUUUCCACAGAGCCGCGAUCACGUCGUCAAGGAGAGCACGAGGAUACAAGAGGACGUCGAGUUCUGCGGUUUCUCCGAAACCCUAAAGGUCUUCUUCGGCUGUAAGUCCAAGAAACAACAUAUAAAGGAAAGGAAAAGCUAAAGCAAAGGAAGGCGACGAGGAGGUGCGGAUGGUGUGUGAUGCCAGGACUAUGUGAAAGACUUGGGACGUUAUUAAGUUUUUCGUGUUUUAGUGGACUGUAAACAUUUGAGAUUGUACUGUAUAGUUCAUGUCAUUUGAGAUUGUAUUUUAUACUCCAUGUCAUUUGAGUUCAUCCUUGUUUUAGAUUGCA